rnacentral:misc_RNA from 1 species
UAUCCCCUUUCCAACAAAGAAAGAAUUAUCAAAAUCGGUACAUCCAGUAGAAAGUUAUACGGUAUAAUACAACGUAGGUCGACGAAAAAAGCGUCAAGUAAAAACACAUUAUUAGAUAUAACUCGAAAAGUGGUUGUUAGAUCUCAAAUAAAUUUAAAUGGGACCAAUUGGCACACACCACCUUUCGAUUAAAACAAAAUUUGUCGAAAUCGGUCCACACGGGCAAAAGUUCUGAUGUAACAUACAUAAAAAAAAAAAAA